GAAUUUUGCGCAAUGGGCGAAAGCCUGACGCAGCAACGCCGCGUGGGGGAAGAAGGCCUUCGGGUUGUAAACCCCUUUCAGGAGGGAAGAAAUUGACGGUACCUCCAGAAGAAGCACCGGCCAACUACGUGCCAGCAGCCGCGGUAAUACGUAGGGUGCGAGCGUUAUCCGGAAUCAUUGGGCGUAAAGAGCUCGUAGGCGGUUCAGCAAGUCGGCUGUGAAAGUCCGGGGCUCAACCCCGGAAUUGCAGUCGAUACUGCUGUGACUAGAGUCCGGUAGAGGAGAGUGGAAUUCCCGGUGUAGCGGUGGAAUGCGCAGAUAUCGGGAGGAACACCAGUAGCGAAGGCGGCUCUCUGGGCCGGCACUGACGCUGAGGAGCGAAAGCGUGGGGAGCAAACAG
rnacentral:rRNA from 1 species